UACAGAGGGGGCAAGCGUUGUUCGGAAUUACUGGGCGUAAAGGGCGCGUAGGCGGCCUGCUAAGUCGAUCGUGAAAUCCCCGGGCUUAACCCGGGAACUGCGACCGAUACUGGUUGGCUUGAAUUCGGGAGAGGGAUGCGGAAUUCCAGGUGUAGCGGUGAAAUGCGUAGAUAUCUGGAGGAACACCGGUGGCGAAGGCGACAUCCUGGACCGGUAUUGACGCUGAGGCGCGAAAGCCAGGGGAGCAAACGGG
rnacentral:rRNA from 1 species